rnacentral:misc_RNA from 1 species
AGAAACUCUCAGGCACGGCUUCUUUGGCAGGCCAGGAUAAAGUCAGAGAGGCAGGUGACCUGCAGUCACUCUGCCCUUGGUAAAACCAUGGAUAUUUUGAAGAUUUGUUUCAUUCUAACGUGAUAGAAUGUUUCAUUCAUUGGUAUUGUCAACGUGAGAUGUUGCCAAAAGACCUACAAAAUUCUUGUCG